AACGAACGCUGGCGGCAUGCCUAACACAUGCAAGUCGAACGAGACCUUCGGGUCUAGUGGCGCACGGGUGCGUAACGCGUGGGAACCUGCCCUUAGGUUCGGAAUAACUCCCCGAAAGGGGUGCUAAUACCGGAUAAUUUCUUCGGACCAAAGAUUUAUCGACUUUGGAUGGGCCCGCGUUGGAUUAGCUAGUUGGUAGGGUAAAAGCCUACCAAGGCGACGAUCCAUAGCUGGUCUGAGAGGAUGAGCAGCCACACUGGGACUGAGACACGGCCCAGACUCCUACGGGAGGCAGCAGUGGGGAAUAGUGGACAAUGGGCGAAAGCCUAAUCCAGCAAUGCCGCGUGAGUGAUGAAGGCCUUAGGGUUGUAAAGCUCUUUUACCCGGGAUGAUAAUGACAGUACCGGGAGAAUAAGCUCCGGCUAACUCCGUG
rnacentral:rRNA from 1 species